rnacentral:lncRNA from 1 species
CAAACGCAGACUGUGAGCUAGAUCAAUCCUCUCCAAGUGAGGAUACACUAUCACUAGGGUCAACAACCCAAUCCAAUCCUCUCCAAGUGAGGAUGCCCUACCACUAGGGUCAAUGUCUCAAUCGACUCAUCAACAACCUCUCCAUGUGAGGAUACCUUACUACUAGGGUUAACAUCUCUCGCGGAAUCAUUUGUUCCCGACAUUCAUGCAAGGCUAUUUAGCGUUUCUAAAUUCAUUGUUCACAAGGCAUUUUCUAAGGGAUCCACCUAUCCCUAGGUCCAUCGACCUCUAGUGUCAUUUUACACUACAUUAAUGCCACUCGUCAUCAUUCAAUGUUUGGAUGCCACUCGUUUGUUCUUUAACAAUAACACUACUUUCUAUGUCAUCAACACCCCCAUCGGGUUCAUCUCUAUCUUUAGCAUCAUAGGAUACACGUUCCGACCCAAUCCUCACCUAUCUAGUUACCAAGCGUUCCAAGUACACUAGGUUAUCAUUUAGAAAGCAUAAGGAAUGGUGCUACUAUGCAAUCCUACAGUGCAACAUGAAGAGAUGAGAUUAAAUGCAAUCUAAGACAUAGAAAGGAGUUCGAAAGCUUCGGGAUGACACCCCCCACCUUUAAUCGAUGUAGAGG